CGGCCGUGAUGAGCAUCCAUGCUAAUACCGAUGCGCCGAGUCCGUGGGCUCCACCGCCCCGGGCGCCGGGCGCAGCUGCGUUGAACUCUGACUUCUCGCUGUGAGACUCUGAGCCGG